rnacentral:tRNA from 1 species
GGAAAGUGAAGAACUAGUGAAAGCUGCUAACUUAUCACUAUAGCGGUUUAAUUCCGUUUACAUUCCU